rnacentral:rRNA from 1 species
UACGUAGGGGGCAAGCGUUAUCCGGAUUUAUUGGGCGUAAAGCGCGCGUAGGCGGUCGAUCGCGUCGGAUGUGAAAGCUCGGGGCUCAACCCUGAGAGGCCAUUCGAUACGGGUCGGCUAGAGGCAGGUAGGGGAAGGUGGAAUUCCUGGUGUAGCGGUGAAAUGCGCAGAUAUCAGGAGGAACACCGGUGGCGAAGGCGGCUCUCUGGGACGGUACUGACGCUGAGACGCGAAAGCGUGGGGAGCGAACAGG